rnacentral:rRNA from 1 species
CCUACGGGGAGGCAGCAGUGGGGAAUAUUGGACAAUGGGCGAAAGCCUGAUCCAGCCAUGCCGCGUGUGUGAAGAAGGCCUUCGGGUUGUAAAGCACUUUCAGUGGGGAAGAAAGCCUUGGGGCUAAUACCCUCGAGGAAGGACAUCACCCACAGAAGAAGCACCGGCUAACUCCGUGCCAGCAGCCGCGGUAAUACGGAGGGUGCGAGCGUUAAUCGGAAUUACUGGGCGUAAAGCGCGCGUAGGCGGUCUGAUAAGCCGGUUGUGAAAGCCCCGGGCUCAACCUGGGAACGGCAUCCGGAACUGUCAGGCUAGAGUGCAGGAGAGGAAGGUAGAAUUCCCGGUGUAGCGGUGAAAUGCGUAGAGAUCGGGAGGAAUACCAGUGGCGAAGGCGGCCUUCUGGACUGACACUGACGCUGAGGUGCGAAAGCGUGGGUAGCAAACAGGAUUAGAUACCCCAGUAGUC